GCAGUGGUGGUUCAGUGGGAGAAUUCUCGCCUUCCCUGUGGGAGAACCAGGUUUGAUUCCCGGCCAUUGUA
rnacentral:tRNA from 1 species